rnacentral:lncRNA from 1 species
GUGUGAGAAUACACAGGGUAGGGUGACAUGGUCAACACAGCUACAGAGCUAGCCUGGGAGUCUGUGGAGGUCAGGCAUUUGGGUAAUAACCUGAGGAGUAUCGCCUCUGUAGCCCAGUUAAACUGUAUGCUGGAAUUUAAACUCUCAGAAAUGGCAGCUGAUGCUGGGUGGAUGGUGGUGGCUCAUGCCUUUAAUCCCAGCAGAGGCAGGUGAAUAUGUGAGUUUUAGGCCGGCCUGGUUUAUGGAUCAAGUUCUAGGACAGCCAGGGCUACACAGAGAACCCUUUCUCAAAAAACCAAACCACCAACCCCCCCCCCCCAAAAAAAAAAAAAAAAAACCAAACGCAACAACAACAAGAAACCAAACAACCCCCUCACCCCCCAAAAAAGAAAGAAUGGCAGCUGGCAGCUUUCUCUGAUGUGUUUUUGAUAACAAUAUGCACCAGUUGGGUAAGAAUGGUUGUGGAGUGUAGAGUUGAGGUGAGAAGGGUGAAGGGUCUUUGAACAAGUGUCUCUAUUGAUAUCCCCAGAAGGCAGUCAGUGUCCAGUGUUCCUGGCGAAGGAAGGCUGCUCUUUGUUCGGAGGCAAGAAGGGACGGGAAGCUAGGCACACAGGGUGUAGUUUCUACGGUAAAUUUUUACAUCCCCCCCCUCCCGCCCCCCAGUGGGUGCUCUUAGUAGCUACAGUUUUAACAUGGUGUGUCAUGUCUUGCUCUAUUCUGCUAAUGACCACACAUCUAACACAAAGCCAUAUAGGAAAGAAGGACUCGUGGGAAGGACUUUAAUACUGGGAGAGUCUGAGCAGCAGGGCUGUGUUCCUGAGUGGCUCUCAGUACAAAGACCACUUGAGAACGGAAAGCCAGCGUUACUUCUUGCUUAUUCUUUUUAAGUCUUUGAAUAAACAUAAUGGAAGAAGCUGAAAAUCGCUUUAAGGAAGUACCACUACCGUGUGCCUUGAUUAUGUGUGGCGGCCUUAGUAUUCAUUUUGUAAAGCCAGGAGUUUCUUUCUGCUCUGAGCUCACUCUUUUGAGACAGGGCCUUGCAGUGUUGUUAAGGGUAGCCUUGAACUUACGAUCUUCCUCAGUUUACAGAGAUGCUGGGGUUACAGGUGUGUUCCUACCACACCCACUCGAAAAUCCUAAUUUUAAAAGGUUUAUUUAUUUCAUGGCUGUUUUGCCUACCUGCAUGUACAUGACCCGUGUGCAUGGCUGGUGCCAGCACAGGCCAGGAGAGUUGGAUCUCCUGAGGCAGGUAGCUGUGGGGUGCAGUGUCAGUGCUGGGAACCGAACCCUGCUCUACAAGAGCAGCAAAUGCUCGCAACUGCUAAGUCAUCUUCCAGCCCCUCUUAAUUACUAAAAAAAAAAAAUGUUAAAACAUCUGUCUGUGUGUCUGUCUGCCUGCCUGCCUGCCUGUCUGUCUGUCUCUGCUGAGGAAGGUAUGUGCUUGCUGCAUCAUAUGUGUGUAGGUCAAAGGACAGGACAAGGGAGUUGAUUCUCUCUCUCCACUAUGUGGGUCCCUGGGGUUGGAGUCAGGCUGUUUAGCUUAGAGCGCAGUGCAUUUUCUCACUGAGACAUCCCAUGGGCUCCUGAUUUGGUCAUGUAGGUAUAAAGCUCUUGCCUGUUAAACCAUGAAGUUUUUUUUUUUUUUUUUUUGCUUUAGAACAGAGUCCAUUUGUUUCUGUUCUGAACACUCAACACUCUCCUGUGAUUAUUGUUAUCACUAAUUUUCACUUACAAUAUUUUCCAGCUGCUGUAGGACUUCCAUAUUGCAUGGCCAGAGAAGGGGUUUGCCUGGGUUCCACAGAGUUUGAGUGGGAAUCCGCUGUGUCCUGUGCUGUGAGACAGGGGAUACCUGUCUUCUGUGUCAUGGCGCUCCCCAGUCCUCUCCCCCACCUGCCUCUUAGACUUACCAGAUUAUCCCCUUUCCACGAUCUUUUUCCUUUUUAGCAUUUGUGCACAUGCGUAGUGCACAUGCAUUUGGGGGCCACAGGUCGAUACUGUUUGUUUCCGUCUAUGGCUGUCCAUCUUAGUUUUUGAGACAGGGUCUUUUCCCAGAUCUGGGAGCUUGCUCAUUGGCUGGUCAGCCGGCACUCCCAUUUCUAGGGUUGCAACUGUCCAUCAGAUGCUUGACUCUUCUGUGGGUGCUGGAGAUCUCAGUCUAGGCCUUCUGCUUGUGCGUCAGGCACUUUUCUAACCGAGCCAUCUCCCCAGCUCUCUAACAUCCUUUCUU